rnacentral:lncRNA from 1 species
GACGGCGAGGCGGGAAGGGGCGGUCUCGAGCGCUGAGGGGUGGGGCUCCGUGAGGGCUCCGGGGAGGGCCGCGGGCGGAUCCCGCUGCUCUCGCGGUUAUGUUCAAACUGUCCUGUUUCUAGUAGUCCCACUGGUUCUUGAAGAUGUUGCAGACUAUGAUUAACUAUGGGAAGAAAUACAUCCUAAGGAUUGAGGCAACAUGAGGACAGCUGGUCACUGUAGCUGCAAACAUGAUUCUAAUAACUCAGCAAAAGCACAAAGGAGCAGUCUGGGAAGUAUCUGCCCACCUGUGCUCGUGGAGAUGCCUGACUGCAAAUAGAGGUGCUGAACCAGUCUCCGGUGCUCAGGUGGGGACACAGACUGUUCUUACAAGUGUGGACAGUCUGUCUGAGCUAAAGCUCAAAGAUUAUUGCUUCAGUUGCUCAAAUACAAAAGCAUUUCACAUCCUGGGUGGAGGAGUCAUACUUGAGAAGAGCCUUUGGAGGCCAGUGGAAAGAAAUCCCCACAAAUAA